GCCUUCAGGGGCCCCUCUUUGCUAUCUCGAUGAUUCUCAGAGGGCGGGGGCGCUUUCGGUCCGCCAGGCCAUAUCUCUAUGGUUUUUCUGCGUGGCGGAGCGGCCUUCAGGGGCCCCUCUUUGCUAUCUCGGUGGUUCCGCGAGGGCGGGGGCGAUUUCUGGUCCGCCACCCCUUAUCUCUAUGGGUUUCCACGUGGCUGAGGGGCGUUUCCGGUGCUCCUCGCCCCCUAAAACCGCCGCAUUCCUACCUGGCUCCCUUCAAUUCCCCUUGGGGCCCCCCCCCCAAAUUUCCUCUGCCAUGUUUUCCCCCGUCUCCGAUUUUUGGCGAACCCCGAAUUCCCCCCGGGGCCCCGCGGUCCCUUCCCUGAUUUCGGCGCCUCCCGAGGCCCGUGGCUCGGGGGGGCGGUCGCGACUGGGGCUCGGAGGCUGACCCCCCCCCGGGUUUGGGGGCGCUGCCCCGCGGUGCCGGGGUGGCCCCUGCAGCCGCCGGAGGAGGAAGAGACCCAGAGUAUGUGGCAGAUUGUCUGCUGGCAACAAAGAAGUUGGAAAAUGACAGCCGUGGCCACCCACCGAAGGCCUGGAUAUAAUGGGGAGUGAGACCAAAGCCUCUGUACUUUCUGCUCCAUUGAGGAACCCGAAGGGAGAAAGCUAGAGCAGUGGGAAGAGCCCGAGAGAAAUGCCGGCUGGCUGAGGGAUCCUAGUGUCCCCUCUGGAAUAAAUCCUCGGAGCUGCUGGUUUGCAGUCCGGUUUGGACACAUUUUGCUGCCGCUUUGGUUCUGAAGAAGCGGAAAUCCGUGGAUUUCUGGAUGAUUUCCGUAGCUUCCCCUAUUUUGGAGGAGCUGCAGGGUGAGGGAGCUGGCAAAAAAGGAGAGAGCCGCUAGGAAGCAAAGAAGCCGCCCGAAGGCCUUAUCCCAGCCCAGGGUUCCCACUUUUCUCUCUGACUCCUGAAUAAUUGCUUGAGCGUAACCAGGGAGCGUCCGUUUGAUUUCCUGCCUUUUCCAAUAAAUCCUUGCCUUCAGCUGGAGCGCGUUCCUGGUGUCCUCCUCCUCCUCCUCCUCCUGCUGCAUGGAUUUGUAAAUAAAGUUCCUGACUUCUGUCCCACUGAAUUUUGUUAUUCCAGCAAUUGUGGCUCGCUCGUUCCAUUGAAACUUCCCCGCUCUGCCGAGAGUUUGAGAUGUCAAAUCCAGGUAAGACUGGAGUUUCUUUGGAUUGCUACUCCCACAAAACACAGAUAAUUCUUGGAGAAGUGUAACGUGCCAUGUUUAGUUCUCACUUCCCUUUAAAAUCAGAGCAGAGGAGGCAGAUUUUAAAUCAUCCUUCCAUGAACUUCCAGCAACCUCCUGACUGUUCCAAAAGUUUUUCAUGUUAGAAAUUCCCGAGCUUGUUUUCCAGGCAAGCUGGGAUUUGGGUGUUAUUCCUUCCUUUUAUUUCAUGGUUUUCCUCUCUCUGAUUUUAGUGAGGGGGUAUUUAUUGCAAAUGCCGAUUUUCCAUCCCAGUUGGAAUUUUUGUACCUCUUAGGGCACAUUUGCAAGGAAGUUUGCCAAAAGAGUGUCGGUUAAUGGGCAUUGUGGAUCACCGUACCUGCAGGAUGCUGUAAAUUCCCAGGAAAACUUGCUGCGUGUUUAAUUGCCGUCAUGAAUCUCUCUGUAAAGUCAAAUUUAGUGCAUUUUUAAUGCCAUCAAUCCCAUUACAACCUCACUCCUGGCCUAAUUGCUGUUCCCUGGACACAAUGGGGUGGAUCUUUCCUGCCUUGGCACAUUUGGAUGUUCAUCCGAAUAUGUGGCAGAUUGUCUGCUGGCAACAAAGAAGUUGGAAAAUGACAGCCGUGGCCACCCACCGAAGGCCUGGAUAUAAUGGGGAGUGAGACCAAAGCCUCUGUACUUUCUGCUCCAUUGAGGAACCCGAAGGGAGAAAGCUAAAGGAGAACAGCAGGGAAAAAGUGCUGCUUGUGUCCUCAGAGAGCAGUGGGAAGAGCCCGAGAGAAAUGCCGGCUGGCUGAGGGAUCCUUGCGUCCCCUCUGGAAUAAAUCCUCGGAGCUGCUGCUUUGCAGUCCGGUUUGGACACAUUUUGCUGCCGCUUUGGUUCUGAAGAAGCGGAAAUCCGUGGAUUUCUGGAUGAUUUCCGUAGCUUCCCCUAUUUUGGAGGGGCUGCAGGGUGAGGGAGCUGGCAAAAAAGGAGAGAGCCGCUAGGAAGCAAAGAAGCCGCCCGAAGGCCUUAUCCCAGCCCAGGGUUCCCACUUUUCUCUCUGACUCCUGAAUAAUUGCUUGAGCAUAACCAGGGAGCGUCCGUUUGAU